rnacentral:rRNA from 1 species
UUCUUCGGAAAGUAAGAUCCCUGAAAGAUGAUCAGGUAGAUAGGUUUGGAGUGGAAGUGUAGCGAUACAUGGAGCGGACAAAUACUAAUCGAUCGAGGACUUAACCAAAA